GACGAACGCUGGCGGCGUGCCUAAUACAUGCAAGUCGAACGCAGUGGGGACGGGGUAUUAACACGUGGGUAACCUCCCAUCAGAGGGGAUAACACUUGGAAACAGGUGCUAAACCGAUAAGGAUGGAUGAACCAGCGGUGCAUUAGGUACUUGGUGUGGUAACGGCUCACCAAGGCCACGAUGCAUAGCCGGCCUGAGAGGGUGAUCGGCCACACUUGGACUGAGACACGGCCCAGACUCCUACGCGAGGCAGCAGUAGGGAAUCUUCGGCAAUGGACGAAAGUCUGACCGAGCAACGCCGCGUGAGUGAAGAAGGUUUUCGGAUCGUAAAACUCUGUUGUUAGAGAAGCGGUAUCUAACCAGAAAGCCACGGCUAACUACGUGCCAGCCGCCGCGGUAAUUC
rnacentral:rRNA from 1 species